rnacentral:rRNA from 1 species
AGUGAACGCUGGCGGUAGGCCUAACACAUGCAAGUCGAACGGCAGCACAGUAAGAGCUUGCUCUUACGGGUGGCGAGUGGCGGACGGGUGAGGAAUACAUCGGAAUCUACUUUUUCGUGGGGGAUAACGUAGGGAAACUUACGCUAAUACCGCAUACGACCUACGGGUGAAAGCAGGGGAUCUUCGGACCUUGCGCGAUUGAAUGAGCCGAUGUCGGAUUAGCUAGUUGGCGGGGUAAAGGCCCACCAAGGCGACGAUCCGUAGCUGGUCUGAGAGGAUGAUCGGCAACACUGGACCUGAGAACGGGCCCAGCCUCUAACGGGAGGCAGCAGGGGGAAUUAUGGGACAUUGGGCGAAAGCUUGUCCAAGCCAACCGGCGGGGGUGAAGAAGGCCUCCGGGUUGUAAAGCCCUUUUGUGGGGAAAGAAAAGAGCCAGGUAAAUCCCCCGUUGUCUUGACGGUACCAAAAGAAUAGGACCCGCCUACUUUCGG